rnacentral:rRNA from 1 species
GAUGAACGCUGGCGGCGUGCCUAAUACAUGCAAGUCGAGCGAAUGGAUUAAGAGCUUGCUCUUAUGAAGUUAGCGGCGGACGGGUGAGUAACUCGUGGGUAACCUGCCCAUAAGACUGGGAUAACUCCGGGAAACCGGGGCUAAUACCGGAUAACAUUUUGAACCGCAUGGUUCGAAAUUGAAAGGCGGCUUCGGCUGUCACUUAUGGAUGGACCCGCGUCGCAUUAGCUAGUUGGUGAGGGAACGGCUCACCAAGGCAACGAUGCGGAGCCGACCUGAGAGGGUGGUAGGCCACACUGGGACUGAGACACGGCCCAGACUCCUACGGGAGGCAGCAGUAGGGAAUCUUCCGCAAUGGACGGAAGUCUGACGGAGCAACGCCGCGUGAGUGAUGAAAGCUUUCGGGUCGUAAAACUCUGUUGUUAGGGAAGAACAAGUGCUAGUUGAAUAAGCUGACACCUUGACGGUACCUAACCAGAAAGCCACGGCUGACUACGUGCCAGCCGCCGCGGUAA